UCAUCUUAUUUAAGAGGUAGAAAUGGAUGAGGCAAAUUUAGACAAUAUUUCAGACUGACUCCAGCUCAGUUCUCUGAUGUUCUAUCAUUCAAUGAACAAGAUGUUAAGAAGCAAUUAGGCACCAACUACAAGACAUCCAUCAGUUCACGGUGAAAGACAGUGAGUGAGUGAGGAAGAGUUGAGUCAGGCCAGUGCUGUCAAAAAAAAAAAAAAAAAAAAAAAAGUAUGCCUCUGGAGACGAAAGCACAAAGGCGGGAGUCCCAACGACAAUGAGUCACCGAUACUAUGGCCAGGAAAAUCGCCUGGCCGGCGAUCUUGGAAUUGGCGCGCGUGGUGUGGAUGGCAUGUGCCCCAAGUUUUGCAUCCGGUGUGAACACUCCUAUUGGAAAUACACUGAAGCGAUUUUAAAAGCCACACAACUUCGCGCCUCGUGCGUCGCGUGCGUCGUCUCUGGUGUGAAAUGGCCGUAUGUGCACGUAGUGUGUUCGUUCAGAGGUGGGAAAAUGACAGCGCGCCCAACGAGUAUGGAUAAGUAUUUAUAUUCGUUGAGCGCGCCCUUUUGUUCAAACGCGUGCGCAAAGAAUGUCACACUUCCUUGGUCUGCGCACAGAAGAGCGCCCUCUGUAGUGACUGGCUGCCACGUGGCACAGGUCCUCUGCUCGAUCCUGCCAGGAAAGUUAACGGACUCCAGCUUUAUCUGUGCUGUUCCGAAAGUCUUCUGCCGAACUCAUCACCCUGAAAGUUACCAGCUUUAGUGUGUCCUGCUGGCUUCCCCUGCAUCCUCUUGAAGAGGGAAUGCCCGCUGUCAUAGCAGGCAAGACAUUACCUGCUGCGCUGCCUCAUCAGUGAACACGGGACUUCACUUAGCGGGCUGCAGUGGCAUGGCGGCGCCCCGCUCACCACACAUCCAGACGGCGGUGAAUGAAGACGUCACUGCAGUGUGCUAUGCGCCCGGAAAGGGGAGAGAGAGAGAGGAGGAAGAUGGUGAUGUGUUCUGCAAGUCAGGAUGAGAAGCACAUCUGACCACCUGUGUGUGUGUAUCAUCAUGGAUCCCUUGUGUUCAGUGAUAAAGGAACCAAUUAACUAUUGCACAAAAUGUGGGAGAUACACGCAAGAGAAUGUGACACGGCUGGUAUCUAAGGCUACAUGUGACAAGGUUGUAUAGAGCACAGAAAGCUGCACAGGCUACAGCUCCUUAACACAACAAUUGUUAAGUACUCAUUUUUGUCACCUAUGCAUUAAGGAAAUAACAAAUUCAUUGUAAAUUAAUUCCUGCAAAAAGCUUUUUUAUGAACCCUGGACACUUUAGUAAAAAUUGUGAGAUC